UGGCGGUAAUUCCAGCUCCAAUAGCGUAUAUUAAAGUUGUUGCAGUUAAAAAGCUCGUAGUUGAAUUUUUGUCGUUAAAAACAAACAUAGCACUAUGUGUAUUGUAUUGUUUUUAUUGACAAUUCUCUUAAUAUUUUAUUUUAGCUUGCUAAAAUAAAAUGUUAGAGGUGUUACUUUGAGAAAAUUAGAGUGCUUCAAGCAGGCGUACUGCCCUGAAUACUCCAGCAUGGAAUAACAUGUAAGGACUAUGGUUCUUCUUGUUGGUUUAAGGACCAAGUAAUGAUUAAUAGGGACAGUUGGGGGCAUUCGUAUUUAGUAGCUAGAGGUGAAAUUCUUAGACCUACUAAAGACGAACUACUGCGAAAGCAUCUGCCAAGGAUGUUUUCAUUAAUCAAGAACGAAAGUUAAGGGAUCGAAGACGAUCAGAUACCGUCGUAGUCUUAACCAUAAACGAUGCCGACUAGAGAUUGGAAGCUGUCA
rnacentral:rRNA from 1 species